GGGUGCGAUCAUACCAGCACUAAUGCACCGGAUCCCAUCAGAACUCCGAAGUUAAGCGUGCUUGGGAGAGAGUAGUACUAGGAUGGGUGACCCAAUGUCGAGGACUCGCAUGAAUCACGUGGG
rnacentral:rRNA from 1 species